ensembl:lncRNA novel transcript
AGUGCACUGAGUGAUUAAAGAUUGUUGGGGCAGGGUGUGUGCAAGUUGAACUUAGCUCAGUGCAUCCACUGGCAAGGAGGUGGUAGCAGGAAAUAGGCAUGUGGUGACUUCAGUAACAGAGACGACUGCAGGGCUGACCUAAGCUUAGUAGCCUGGCUUCUCCGGGAGCUGAGGGUGAGCAUCAUGCCUGCUCCAUCUCCCUCUUUGUUGUGGAUAAGGCAGGUAGGAAGAAUGACGGAUUGCCUUACCCUUUCUAAUUGUUGUGUGCUCUCCAUACCCCACCCAAUCCUACUUCAACAUUGUCACCUAAGGAUUCACAAACCCACCCUUGUGCGAAUCCAGCCGUCUGUGUUCUAGACUGGCAAGGACCAUAUCUGAUUCUGAGAUGCUCAGGAAGGUGUGCUCCCAAUUGGCCCUUGUCCAGACUAGUUUACUUGCUGAGUAUCCCCAGGGCACAGGAACAAUCAUUUGGGGUUGCGGCUUUGUUCAUAGGGUCAUCAAGACAGGAGGAUAUGAGGCAGAAUCACCACACAAGCUAACCUGAUGUACAUAUGACAUUAAUCCAAUAGACUUAGGAAUAAGAUACAGGGGGUUUUCCUGAAUGAUUCGAGUAUAUCCCCAUUCAUAUUAAGAAAACAAAGUAUUGGCCAAGCGUGGUGGCUCACGCCUGUAAUCCCGGCACUUUGGAAGGCCGAGGCCAGUGGAUCACCUGAGAUGGACUCAACGACUCUCUUACCGUCCAGCUCUCAAGUCCCUUCUCUUGUGAAAAUGGAAAAGUUGAACUACAGUUGAGAUAUUAUUCCCAGGUGUUCUUUGGAACACAGGGGAUUUCUCCAAAAGGCACAGAACAAAUUGCCUCCAAACAGCCAAGAUUCCAGCAGAAGCUGGAGUAGCAGACUACUUGGAUCUUCAAAGUACCUGGCCCUGAGUCAGUUAAGGAAGAUCUUUUCUUCUCUUUUGUACAAUCCUAUGAUGAGAGCUGCAAAGUGAACUGACUAAGAGCUUCUGCCUUGAUCAUUGACCUCCCAAUCCUAAUAAUAUGUUCACUGGCCAAACUUCCUAAUCGAUUUGUCUUUUGGAUAUAACGUUCCUCCUACUGUUUGCCUGAUUGAGAAAUCUGCUACAGAACAUGACCGGUUAGCAUUCCCACCAACCCCAGUGCUACACUGACUGUCUUUCGAUGGACUUUGCUCCUUGCUGCCUCUCUGAGGUCCCAGACCUUCAGAGUGACCUUCACAGCUCUGCCUAACUUUCUGUCAUACUUCUAUCAAGAGAGACAGCUAAAUCAAUAUUUUUAAUGUGCUUUGCUGUCGGAAUUCGAUGAUCUGUCACAGUUCUUGCCCAAUACACCCCAUCAUUAUUGUUAAAAUGUUUUUAGCUUUGUUUGUAGAAUUGCUUUAACUGGUUUCAUCUCUGGGAGCUACACUUUGAAAUAUAACUUUAGCAACAUUUUACUAUACUUUUUCACAACCCAGAGCAGUACUAUUUUAUGCUUAGUGGUUAAACUAAUUCCAUAAAUCUUUUGCAACUAUCCUCUAUUCUUUUUCUUGUAAUUUUUACCUGGGAAGGUUUUUACUGAUAAUCAUCCUAUCCUGAGUCAUCCCACAAACCAAUCUGUCUCACUAAUCAUUGCUUCUAACCUACAGACUAAGCAUAACUUCUGCUAAAUGAUCUUUGAUAAGAUGCUAUGACUCUAUAAAGUCUUUGAUAUUCAUGUCUAAAUUUAAUCACUUGUAGAUUUUCAUAGAAUCAAUCUUUCACUUCUACAAUUGGGAGUAUUUAUAAGUUGUUUAUCUUAAACAGUUCCUCUAUCACGCUUUUCACGUUAAAUAAAGCAAUCCCUUCAAAUCAA